rnacentral:lncRNA from 1 species
AUGAAGACACUAGCUGAAGCAAUUACUGAGGUAUUACUGACUAUCAUGGAAGACAGGCUGAUGAGAAGCCAGCGUCCUGCCAAAGACACCAAGGCUCAUUCAACUGUCAAAAGCGAUAGAGGCUCUGACCUUACUGUUCCAGAAUGCAUAAGUUGGGCACAUACGGAUCUUCUAUUAACGUUCAAUGUUAGUGGACCCAAGAGCUUCUCUGCCAACUAUUUCGGAGUUUCUGAGCCUGCUGAUUUAAAAAUGUUCAUUGCUUAUAUAUUCUAA